UCCGAAUUGGUGUAACGGUUAACAUUUGACGUUUUCACUUUUCCGUCUGGUGCGAUACACCUGCUUGGUGCUUCGUAUAGACAGGAAUUCGAAAUACCGUCAGGCUCGGGGUUCGAUUCCCCGAUUCGGAG